rnacentral:rRNA from 1 species
UACGGGGGGGGCAAGCGUUGUCCGGAUUUACUGGGCGUAAAGGGCGCGCAGGCGGCCAUUCAAGUCAGGCGUGAAAGCCCCGGGCUAAACCUGGGAGGUGCGCUUGGGACUACGGAGCUGGAGUGUGGCAGAGGAAGGUGGAAUUCCACGUGUAGCGGUGAAAUGCGUAGAUAUGUGGAGGAACACCGAUGGCGAAGGCAGCCUUCGGGGCCAACACUGACGCUCAUGCACGAAAGCGUGGGGAGCAAACGGG